rnacentral:ncRNA from 1 species
CUCGUCUCAAAGGGGUGCUCUAAAUAACGAGCUGAGAUCAUACCCAUAGAACCUAGAACAGAUAAUGCUGUUUAGGGAAUCGACAAAAAUAAAUGU